UACGGGGGGGGCAAGCGUUGUUCGGAAUUACUGGGCGUAAAGGGCUCGUAGGUGGCCAACUAAGUCAGACGUGAAAUCCCUCAGCUUAACUGGGGAACUGCGUCUGAUACUGGAUGGCUUGAGUUUGGGAGAGGGACGCGGAAUUCCAGGUGUAGCGGUGAAAUGCGUAGAUAUCUGGAGGAACACCGAUGGCGAAGGCAGGUCACUGGGCCGCAACUGACGCUGAGGAGCGAAAGCAUGGGGAGCGAACAGG
rnacentral:rRNA from 1 species